CUUCGCUGACGAGUGGCGGACGGGUGAGUAAUGUCUGGGAAACUGCCUGAUGGAGGGGGAUAACUACUGGAAACGGUGGCUAAUACCGCAUAACGUCGCAAGACCAAAGAGGGGGACCUUCGGGCCUCUUGCCAUCAGAUGUGCCCAGAUGGGAUUAGCUUGUUGGUGAGGUAACGGCUCACCAAGGCGACGAUCCCUAGCUGGUCUGAGAGGAUGACCAGCCACACUGGAACUGAGACACGGUCCAGACUCCUACGGGAGGCAGCAGUGGGGAAUAUUGCACAAUGGGCGCAAGCCUGAUGCAGCCAUGCCGCGUGUAUGAAGAAGGCCUUCGGGUUGUAAAGUACUU
rnacentral:rRNA from 1 species